AGGGAAUCUUCGGCAAUGGACGAAAGUCUGACCGAGCAACGCCGCGUGAGUGAGGAAGGCCUUCGGGUCGUAAAGCUCUGUUGCCAGGGACGAACGGCGAUGUGUUAACUGCACAUCGUGUGACGGUACCUGAGAAGAAAGCCCCGGCUAACUACGUGCCAGCAGCCGCGGUAAUACGUAGGGGGCAAGCGUUGUCCGGAAUUAUUGGGCGUAAAGCGCGCGCAGGCGGCGGUUUAAGUCUGGAGUUUAAGCCCGGGGCUCAACCCCGGAUCGCUCUGGAAACUGGAUCGCGUGAGUGCAGGAGAGAGAAGCGGAAUUCCACGUGUAGCGGUGAAAUGCGUAGAGAUGUGGAGGAACACCAGUGGCGAAGGCGGCUUCUUGGCCUGUAACUGACGCUGAGGCGCGAAAGCGUGGGGAGCAAAC
rnacentral:rRNA from 1 species